UACAGAGGUCCCAAGCGUUGUUCGGAUUCACUGGGCGUAAAGGGUGCGCAGGUGGCGGGGUAAGUUUGAUGUGAAAUCUCCGGGCUCAACCCGGAAAAUGCAUUGAAUACUAUCCUGCUAGAGGGUUGGAGGGGAGACUGGAAUUCUCGGUGUAGCAGUGAAAUGCGUAGAUAUCGAGAGGAACACCAGUGGCGAAGGCGAGUCUCUGGACAACUCCUGACACUGAGGCACGAAAGCUAGGGGAGCAAACAG
rnacentral:rRNA from 1 species